UACGGAGGAUGCGAGCGUUAUCCGGAUUUAUUGGGUUUAAAGGGUGCGUAGGCGGCAUUUCAAGUCAGCGGUAAAAUUGCGGGGCUCAACCCCGUACAGCCGUUGAGACUGAGGAGCUAGAGACGGCGAGAGGUACGCGGAAUGCGCAGUGUAGCGGUGAAAUGCAUAGAUAUUGCGCAGAACUCCGAUUGCGAAGGCAGCGUACUGGCGCCGGACUGACGCUGAGGCACGAAAGCGUGGGGAUCGAACAGG
rnacentral:rRNA from 1 species